CGUAGGGGCGAGCGUUGUCCGGAUUUACUGGGCGUAAAGCGCGCGUAGGCGGAAGUGUAAGUGUGGCCUGAAAGCCCCCCGGCUCAACCGGGGAGGGUGGCUGCAAACUGCGCUUCUUGAGGGCGAUAGAGGAGUGUGGAAUUCCUGGUGUAGCGGUGAAAUGCGUAGAGAUCAGGAGGAACACCCGUGGCGAAGGCGGCACUCUGGGUCGGCCCUGACGCUGAGGCGCGAAAGCGUGGGGAGCGAACGGGAUUAGAUACCCCGGUAGUCCACGCCGUAAACGAUGGUCACUAGGUGUGUGCGGUAUCGACCCCGCACGUGCCGCAGCUAACGCAAUAAGUGACCCGCCUGGGGAGUACGGCCGCAAGGUUG
rnacentral:rRNA from 1 species